AUGUGCUUUUUCCUUUCAACUAUCCCUUCUUUUCAAUAGUCCUUUCCCAUCAUCUUCCCACCGUUUCAUCUCCCUUUCCAUCCUUUUUAUACUCCCUUGAAAAAAACGUCUUUCCCAUUCUCUCCCAAUAACCCGAACUAGAUCCAUGGCUAACAUUGUGAAAAAUCCAACCAACUGUUAGUUUGAUAAUCAAGAACCAAACAUCGUUCCUAGUUCUUCUAAGGAAGCCUCAUUUCAAUCCUUGUAAUCGACUAUCCCUAGAAAAUGCUACGUCUCUAGCCCUAAUUUGGCCUGUGAGAAAUCUCACUCCAAUCCUCUGUAAAACCUUCCUCUAGAGGGCAUACAAUAAGUUUCGGACUGUAUCUCAAUGAGAAAAUUUUGUCGCCUUCAAAAAUCACUCAGUGAUGUCGAAAGAGUUGUGAAUCUUUUGAAAUUAAAGGAAUCUCAUUUUAAUUUGAAGUUUCUACAGCCUAUGACUCAAAGACUUUAUCCAACAUAGGAUAUGUUCUGGUCGAUAAUGAAUGGUACAAAGAGGAGUCUGCAAAAGAAAAGGUUGAUCUCCCUAAGGUUAGUAAAAAUGUUACCAACCCUAUAUUUUCAGUGCUGAAAGAAGUAGAGGAGAUUCAAGAAUUCCUCAAGUCUAUUGAGGAAGGGAUGAUUGGUAUUCAAGAAUCAACCAACAAGUUGCUGCAGCUAGAUAAGGACACAAGAACUAAUGUGGGCAAAGUGUGUCUUCAAACAGGAAAGUGUCAAGAUCUUUAACAGGUUAUUCACACAAGUCGACUCCAUCAAAUAUAAAGCCAACUCCUCCUGCAAUGAUCUUGCCAUAUUUGUCCAGAACUCCUACUCUAGUUUCUCAAAAAAUGUUGAACGAUCCUAUGAACGCUUUUAUCACAAUAUGCACAACACUCUUACCUAUUUCUUAAAAAACAUUGACUCAUUACUUUUCCUAUUCAAAAGGGGUUUGUCCCGUCUCUUUGUUGGUCUGUAACUGGGAUACUAUCAUUCUCUUCCUCCAGCUUGACAUUUGUUAUUUGCUUGUUUUAUUUGGUGGUUUUA